rnacentral:rRNA from 1 species
GACGAACGCUGGCGGCGUGCUUAACACAUGCAAGUCGAGCGAUGAAGCACCUUCGGGUGUGGAUUAGCGGCGAACGGGUGAGGAACACGUGAGGAAUCUGCCUUUCACUUCGGGAUAACUCCGGGAAACCGGGGCUAAUACCGGAUAUUUUCAACUGGCGGCAUCGCCGGUUGAAGAAAGUUUUUCGGCGAAAGAUGACCACGCGGCCUAUCAGCUUGUUGGUGAGGUAAUGGCUCACCAAGGCGACGACGGGUAGCCGGCCUGAGAGGGCGACCGGCCACACUGGGACUGAGACACGGCCCAGACUCCUACGGGAGGCAGCAGUGGGGAAUAUUGGGCAAUGGAGGAAACUCUGACCCAGCGACGCCGCGUGAGGGAUGAAGGCCUUCGGGUUGUAAACCUCUUUCAGCAGGGAAUAAGCGAAAGUGAAGGUACCUGCAGAAGAAGCACCGGCUAACUAUGUGCCAGCAGCCGCGGUAA